AGUCGAGGGGUAUAGUUCUUCGGAAUUAGAGACCGGCGCACGGGUGCGUAACGCGUAUGCAAUCUACCUUUUACAGAGGGAUAGCCCAGAGAAAUUUGGAUUAAUACCUCAUAGUAUAGAUCAACCGCAUGGUUGGCCUAUUAAAGUCACAACGGUAAAAGAUGAGCAUGCGUCCCAUUAGCUAGUUGGUAAGGUAACGGCUUACCAAGGCGACGAUGGGUAGGGGUCCUGAGAGGGAGAUCCCCCACACUGGUACUGAGACACGGACCAGACUCCUACGGGAGGCAGCAGUGAGGAAUAUUGGACAAUGGGCGCAAGCCUGAUCCAGCCAUGCCGCGUGCAGGAUGACGGUCCUAUGGAUUGUAAACUGCUUUUGCACAGGAAGAAACAACUCUACGUGUAGAGUCUUGACGGUACUGUGAGAAUAAGGAUCGGCUAACUCCGUGCCAGCAGCCGCGGUAAUACGGAGGAUCCAAGCGUUAUCCGGAAUCAUUGGGUUUAAAGGGUCCGUAGGCGGUUUAGUAAGUCAGUGGUGAAAGCCCAUCGCUCAACGGUGGAACGGCCAUUGAUACUGCUAGACUUGAAUUAUUAGGAAGUAACUAGAAUAUGUAGUGUAGCGGUGAAAUGCUUAGAGAUUACAUGGAAUACCAAUUGCGAAGGCAGGUUACUACUAAUGGAUUGACGCUGAUGGACGAAAGCGUGGGUAGCGAACAGGAUUAGAUACCCUGGUAGUCCACGCCGUANACGAUGGAUACUAGCUGUUGNGAGCAAUCUCAGUGGCUAAGCGAAAGUGAUAAGUAUCCCACCUGGGGAG
rnacentral:rRNA from 1 species